GUGGGUUUGAAAGCAGAGUUAUUCCUGAAACAAGAGGCACUCGGCAAAGAACAACUUCAAGAGAACUCUACUACAGUCAAGGCUAAACCUGUUCCUAAGAAAGCAAGUAUCUGGACCAAGAAGAAUGACGGAGUUCAGUCCCGAGCUGAGAAGGAUAAAGUCCUUACAUCAGAAGAAGAAAAUGCAUUGGAUAAAUCAAGGGCAGCCUUAGAGGCCAAGUUAAAGCUCUAGGAGGAGAUGUCAAAAGGAGCCAUUCUGACAGCAGGGUGAAGGACCAAAAAUUAGCCUAGGUAGCCACCAUUUUCGAAUUCAGCACCCCCAAAUUAGUUAAAUCAGAGGACGAUGUUGCAGAUCACUUCCUGGUGGACUAUGAGAAGAAGACCAUCAGUGACAUGAAGGAGAAGAGAAGACUCGAGGAGGAGGAAGAGGAGGCAGCAAGGGCGGGGCCAGAGUAUGAGAUGGGGGCUACGGAUGUACCUGGCCCAGUCGACCCUCAAGACCAAUGAAUGGAUUUUGUGGACACCUUAGGACAAUCCAGACGCUGUAUGAAGAAAGAUCUUCCUGAGCUCAUCAACAUUGAUAAACGUCUUAAUCCUCAGGCAUUUAGGUAAGCCCAGAUUAUCACCGGAUAUAAAUGAUUGGUCUCUGCGCUCGCUAUUUGAUUCAUAGUUUGUAAAAGCACACAAUUUGUGCAACAUUUUGGUUUAGGAGGCCGAAAAAAAUACAACUCCAAAGAAGUCACUCAUACAGAGUGAACUUGGUCAACUAUUCUACAUUCUGGUAAUGAAAUAAGUAGUAAUAGUAAUAAUGAAAACUUAUAAAGCGCACAAAUCCAUCCUCAUGGCGCUAAAAAAGUUACCCUCAAAAAGUGACUAGCACUGUGACCCUGAAGGUAGCUGUGUAGAGAAGAUGAUGAAGAAAUUUCAGUUUUAGAUGUUGGAGGAAAACCCAAACAGUUUAUGUGUACAGUUCAGAUUUAUCCAAGUUCAUGGUCUGGGUCUUGGUGUCAGA